CAGACUAUUUGCAGGACACUACAGCUAUGCCUCACAGACAGCACAGAGGUUGAAUACAAAGUCUUGAACAUAACAGGUUGGGCUUUCAGUAGCAGAAGACCUUCUCAGACCUCCUGGGACUCCAGGUUCAUAAAGGUAGAAGAUGAAGUCCAAAGUGUAGUUGUCAAUGCUGUGCAAGAGUUGAGUACUGAAAAGCAGUGGAAGACUGAUAUAACAAAUAAAGAAAAUAUGAUGGAAGCUACAAGAAAGCCAAAGAUGUAUGAAAGCUCUGAAGCUCUGCAGCGGAGGCUCUCCACCUAGCAGUGAGUGGUGUUCCUGCAGAAGCAGCUGGCACAGAGAAGACAGAGACCAUGGAAGAUUUAGGUUGUGCCCUUGGUACGAUGGUGAGAAUUUUCAACUACUCAGAAUAUGCACAUCAUUCAGGAUGAUGAGAUUUGUAUUUUUGGUGAAAAUGCGACACUGA
rnacentral:lncRNA from 1 species